CCUACGGGUGGCAGCAGUGGGGGAUAGUGGGCAAUGGGCGCAAGCCUGACCCAGCAACGCCGCGUGAAGGAAGAAGGCUUUCGGGUUGUAAACUUCUUUUGUCAGGGACGAAGCAAGGGACGGUACCGGACGAAUAAGCCACGGCUAACUACGUGCCAGCAGCCGCGGUAAUACGUAGGGGGCAAGCGUUAUCCGGAUUUACUGGGGGUAAAGGGCGUGUAGGCGGGACUGCAAGUCAGAUGUGAAAACCACGGGCUCAACCUGUGGCCUGCAUUUGAAACGGUAGUUCUUGAGUACUGGAGAGGUAGGCGGAAUUCCUCGUGUCGCGGUUAAAUGCGUAGCUAUUAGGAGG
rnacentral:rRNA from 1 species